GAUGAAGAACGUAGCGAAAUGCGAUAAGUAAUGUGAAUUGCAGAAUUCAGUGAAUCAUCGAAUCUUUGAACGCACAUUGCGCCCGCCAGCAUUCUGGCGGGCAUGCCUGUUCGAGCGUCAUUUCAACCCUCGAGCCCCCCCGGGGGCCUCGGUGUUGGGGGACGGGACACCAGCCGCCCCCGAAAUGCAGUGGCGACCCCGCCGCAGCCUCCCCUGCGUAGUAGCACACACCUCGCACCGGAGCGCGGAGGCGGUCACGCCGUAAAACGCCCAACUUUCUUAGAGUUGACCUCGGAUCAGGUAGGAAUACCCGCUGAACUUAAGCAUAUCAAUAAGCGGAGGA
rnacentral:misc_RNA from 1 species